GACGAACCGUGCGAACGUUAUUCGGAAUCACUGGGCUUAAAGCGCGUGUAGGCGGGCGGGUACGUCGGCGACUGAAAGCCCCCGGCUCAACCGGGGAAGGGGUGCCGAAACGGCCGGCCUGGAGGGGCGUGAGGGGACCUGGAACUUCCGGUGGAGCGGUGAAAUGCGUAGAGAUCAUGAGGAAGACCAGUGGCGAAGGCGGGUCUCUGGACAGUUCCUGACACUGAGGCACGAAGGCCAGGGAGCAAACGGG
rnacentral:rRNA from 1 species